CACCACUCAAGCCUCGCUUGGUAUUGGGCGACGCGGUCCGCCGCGCGCCUCAAAUCGACCGGCUGGGUCGAUCGCACCCUCAGCGUUGUGGAAACUAUUCGCUAAAGGAGUUGUGGUCGGUCACGCCGUGAAACAAACCAAUUUUCAAU
rnacentral:misc_RNA from 1 species